CAUUCGAGCACAGGCGGUGGGACCCGCCCGGGACCCUCGAACUAGCCAAUGAGAAGCGCACGGGCCCUGGUCGCCUGGGAAACCGCGUGACAACAAGAUGGCGGCGCCGCGGGACGGCUCCCAGGCCCUGCGCGGGAGUUCCUGACAGCUAGAAUCUAGAAGUAGAGCUAUGAGCUCACCUUUGGCCUCCCUUGGCAAGACCCGAAGAGUCCCCCUGCAGUCAGAGCCUGUGAAUCCAGGGAGGCGAGGGAUAAAACUCUACGGAGAUGCAUCCAGGCUGCUUUAUCCAGGCCAGAGCCCAGGGUCCCAGCUUCCUCUGGGCCUCAGCCCCAGAGCAGUGACCUGGGCAUCCCUGUCUGCAGAAGACGAGGUGGACGUGCUGAAUAAUGGACAUGGCUCAGAAGAAAGGAUCUCCAUCCCUUCAUGCUAUGGCGGCGUAGGUGCCCCUGUGAGUAGGCAAGUCCCUGUAUUCCAUGACUCGGAGCUGGUGGCCACCUUGACCAGGAAGAUGCGGGACCUGGAGCGGCAAGUGAAGUCUCAGGCUGAUGAGCUUCUGUCCAAGGAUCGGAAGAUACGGGCCCUGGAGGAAAUGGUGCAGACCUUCCAGGAGCACGAGGGCAAGGUGAAGGCGCAGCAGCAGCAGGAGCUGGAGACCAUGUGCUCGCGGCUCCAGCGGCAGGUCGGGGAGAUGGAGCGGUUCCUCGGGGACUACGGGCUGCAGUGGGUGGGCGAGCCCGCGGACGACGAGGACUCCGAGGACCAGUCAGACUCAGAGGAUGGCAAGAGGGACUGGAUGACAGCCAAGAAGUUGUGGAAACCAGGGGACUCAUUGGCACCCCCCGAGGUGGACUUUGACAGGCUGCUGGCCAGCCUGAAGGAUCUCAGUGAGCUGGUGGUAGACGGUGACACCCAGGUGAUACCAAUGCCCGGUGGAGCACGGCUCCAUGUCCUUGAGCCCAUCCCACUGAAGCUCUAUCGGAAUGGCCUCAUGAUGUUCGAUGGGCCCUUCCGGCCCUUCCGUGACCUCUCCACACAGCGCUGCCUCCGAGACAUACUGGAUGGCUUCUUCCCCUCAGAGCUCCAGCGGCUGUACCCUGAUGGAGUCCCCUUCAAGCAGCAGCCCGGAGUGUGGUGCGUCAUUCCACAGCAAGGGGACAUGAGGGGGUGUGCACCACCACCACCUGGGCUUGAAAACCAUGUGAGUGAUCUGCGCAAUCAGGUUUACCCAGAGAAUGGGCUGGACCCAUUCCCAGGUGAGGGCCGUGUGGUGGGCCGACAGAGGAUGCACAAGCCCCUGGACAGGAUGGAGCACUCAGGCUCCAGGAUGACUGCUGAGAAGUUCCUGAACAGGCUCCCCAAGUUUGUGAUCCGGCAAGGUGAGGUGGUUGACAUCCGGGGACCCAUCCGGGACACCCUGCAGAACUGCUGCCCACUGCCUGCUCGGAUCCAGGAAAUCGUGGUAGAGACACCAGCCUUGGCUGCUGAGCGCGAGAGGCCCACAGGAACCAGGAGUCCCCAGAGUCACCAGCACGCCUGCUCUCCAUGCUGCGCAUCAAGUCUGAGAAUGGUGAGCAGGCCUUCCUGCUGAUGAUGCGGCCUGAGGACACUGUUGGUGAUGUGCGCACCCUGCUUGCACAGGCCAGGGCUGUGGAUGCCACCACCUUCGAGAUCUUCAGUACAUUCCCACCCACGGUCUACCACGACGACACGGCCACACUGCAGGCAGCAGGCCUGGUGCCCAGUGCAGCGCUGCUGCUUCGGGCGAGCCGGGCCCCACCGCCUGACCCAGGACCCAGCCCCAGCUCCAAAUAAAGCGCCCGCUCCCACACAG